AACGAACGCUGGCGGCAUGCCUAACACAUGCAAGUCGAACGAGAUCUUCGGGUCUAGUGGCGCACGGGUGCGUAACGCGUGGGAAUCUGCCCUUUGGUUCGGAAUCACAGUUGGAAACGACUGAUAAUACCGGAUGAUGACGAAAGUCCAUAGAUUUAUCGCCAGAGGAUGAGCCCGCGUAGGAUUAGCUAGUUGGUGUGGUCACGGCGCACCAAGGCGACGAUCCUUAGCUGGUCUGAGAGGAUGAUCAGCCACACUGGGACCGAGACACGGCCCACGCUCCUACGGGGGGCAGCAGUGGGGAAUAUUGGAGAAUGGGCGAAAGCCUGAUCGAGCAAUGCCGCGGGAGGGAUGAAGGCCUUAGGGUUGUAAAGCUCUUUUACCCGGGAUGAUAAUGACAGUACCGGGAGAAUAAGCUCCGGCUAACUCCGUGCCAGCAGCCGCCGUAA
rnacentral:rRNA from 1 species